UCCGGUUUGUCACCGGCAGUCUCAUUAGAGUGCCCAACUGAAUGUAGCAACAUCGGACAGGGGUUGCGCUCGUUGCGCCACUUAAGGCAACACCUCACGGCACGAGCUGACGACAGCCAUGCAGCACCUGUGCUAGCCCCCGAAGGACACGGGCUUUCACCCGCUUUAACCAGCAUGUCAAGCCCAGGUAAGGUUCUUCGCGUUGCAUCGAAUUAAGCCACAUGCUCCGCCGCUUGUGCGGGUCCCCGUCAAUUCCUUUGAGUUUUAGCCUUGCGGCCGUACUCCCCAGGCGGAGUGCUUAAUGCGUUAGCUGCGGCACAGAGAGGGUUGAAGACCUCCCCACACCUAGCACUCAACGUUUACGGCGUGGACUAC
rnacentral:misc_RNA from 1 species